AUCGUGAAACGCAGCAACUCAUGUAUUUUUUCGUCUGCUACGAGUGACUUGUGUAGUUCUGCGAAAUAUUAAUUUUUUAAAAAAACAGUGAUAGAAAAGGGGGUUAAGACCUCUUAUGAACUCAGAUACUUCAAUAUCAACAAUGAGGAAAAGGAUGAUGAUGAUGACAAGGAAUAAGUUCGUCUCCCCGUUGUUUCGUUUUUGCUGUAAAGUAAUAAACGAUGACCAUUAUAUUUGUACAAUUGUUACUGCAUUAAACUUGACACCAUUCCUUGACGCAUACUUUCAGGGCUGUGUACGAAGGGAAUUAUAAUUUUGCAUUAAGAAGAUUCCAGGUUAUGAAGGAACUUGGUCUAAGCAUUUGCUAGUAAGAUGUCGGAUCCAUUCAUGUGGUUGCAUGUUUCGAUUUGACCAAUAAUUCAUAUCAGACAUGAAGGCUGGGAAGACAGUGAAAGUGAAGUAAAUGCAUUCUGCGUAAAGCAAUC